rnacentral:lncRNA from 1 species
GACAAGUUCCCCAUCUCCUGUAUCUGAAGGCCAUUAUCUUGACUCACAACAAAUCUUGUCAAUGUUUGGAGACUAGUUAGCUCACCAAUUCCCAUCGGCAUCCUUAUUUGUGAAUUUGCACCAGUAAAAUCAAGAUGCCUUAGGUUAAUUAAAUCUCUCAUUUCUAAAGGAAACUCCUUAAGAGCUUUACACCCCCACAAAAUCAAAGUCUCUAAAUUGUAAAGUUUGCAUAUUGAAUCAGGUAGAGUUUUGAUUUCAGUGCGAGAAAAAUUGAGAAAACGCAGAUGUAUCAAAUCUCCAAAAACAUCAAGUAACUUGGUCAAGCGAUACCCUUCUAAAGAAAGCACCCUUAAGCAUUUCAAUUUUGACAACAAAUCACUGAGAACUUGAUUAGAUAUAUAGCAAUACCCGUCAUUUGGCAUCUUCAACUGUAAGAAGGUUCUUAAAUGCUCCAUUCCAUUAAAGACUCGGAAUUUUUUAAUUCCAUCCCUCCGAUCACCAAUGUAAGAUGAGUGGCGAGCAUUAUUGGAAAUGUUCAAUUCCUUGUCACCUUCCACUCUAAAGCAUAAAUCUUUGGCGAUUGAUUGAGCCAAAUCAUUAAUAAGAUCAUGCAUUACAUAUCGAGACUUAUCUUGACUGGAUCUUUCAAAAAAUGACCUUGAUACAAGUUCCUGAAAGAUCUCUUGACCCAAAUCUUCAUUUUGCUUCACAGCUUUCACUCGUAGAAAGCCUUCUGCCAUCCAUAACCGGACUAUUUCUGUCUUAGAAAAUUCAUAAUCUUUGGGGAUUAUGGCACAGUAAGCAAAACAUGGCUUUAGAUGUGGAGGAAGAUGAUGAUAGCUUAGUCGUAAAGCUGGAAUUAUGUUACAUCCCUCCUCUUUCCACACCUCAUUUUCUAGUAUAUCUUUCCACACAACAAGGCCCACCUCAUUGCGCAAAAGGCCUCCAAUGGUCUUAGCUGCCAAAGGCAAGCCCCUGCAUUUCUCCGCCAUCUUUACACCAAUUUCUUUCAAGUGCGGAUGGCCACUAAAAUCUUUUGCUUGGAAUGCAUGUCCAGUUAAUACAGAAAGGCAAUCUUCAUCUGGCAACUUUUGCAGCUUGUAAUCAUCUGGGAUAGUUCUCGUCAUUCUUGAAACACUUUGGUCGCGUGUUGUCACGAUAAUUGUAGUUCCUUUUCCAAAAGGGGCUACUAGGAUAGUCCAAUCAUUAUAGAUUUGAUGCCAAAGAUCAUCCAAAAUGAGAAGUAGUUUUUUUCCAGAGAGCUUCUCCUUCAAUUUUAUUUGAAGAUUAUUCAAAUUAGCUUCAGCAUCACCAGACUUAUGGCCAACUGAUGACAAAAUUGAUUUUGUUAUAUCCGUGAUAUCAAAAUUUUCAGAAACACAUACCCAUGCUUUGAGAUCAAAAUAAUCAUUCACGCGAUUAUCAUUGUAGACAAGCUGAGCAAGAGUUGUCUUACCAAUCCCUCCCAUGCCAACGAUGGGAAUCACAACCUUUCCUUCAUCAUCACUCUCGACGAGCAAUUCGAGUAUUUUCUCCUUGUCUUUGUCUCUACCAUACACAUGAGUUUCAAUCUCCACAGAAGUAGGUUGCAGCCGUCCUUCUAUCCUUUUGGAUCUAUGGCAGUCCUUCAUUCUCUUCUGUAACUUUUUUCUCUCUGGUUCUAAAGCUUUCAAUCUGACAGUGACAUCAUUUAUCUUGGACAUCAUGUCCCUGUAAAAACUAACAGCACCGAGUGGUUCAGUGAUCAUGAGUCUUGGUUUCUUACUUGAGCUACCUCGACGUUCCAUCAUCAAAUUGCGUCUCGAAAUUUCGGUUGCAAGCUCGUCCAAGACGUCGUCCACAUCGUAUGCCAAGAUUUGGAGGUGGAACAACCAGAUUUUGACGAACUUAUCUUUGAGCUGCCUCUCCUCAGCAUCAUCAAGCACAGCACGAAUCUCCAGCAAUUCCUUCUUCAACUUCUCCAUCCCCUCGUGAAUCUUCUUCUCGGUAGCAAAUUGCAGUAAGUCAGAAGACACCAACUUGUCUAUGAGAAAGUCGAAGAACUUGGAGACAACAACUUCUCCUAUGGCGGACAAGGCAUCAAAGAAAGACAUGGUUGGAGGAAAUCAAAGCAGAGAAAAUUUAGAAAAGAGUAGAGAUAGAGGCGAAGUGAGUAAAGAUUAGUUGUAUUGGUGACUUUUAUUUGUCUGUGUCCGUUGAUUUUGACAAUCUUUUACAGACAUGUGGCUAAGCUUUUUGGUGUAAAAAUAAUUUAUAAAGCACUGAUAUUUAUUACACUUAUUUUUUUACUUAUUUUAAAAUAAUAAUAAGUAUAUAUAAAAGACAUUAAUUUUAAAAAUGUAAAUGAAUAAAUGAGAAUUAUAUAUAAGAAAUAAUUAAUAUUUCAAUAUAUAUAAAUAAAAUUUCAUAAUAUUAAUUAUUGUCCUCUAAAGUUAGUGUUUUAAUGAAAGGUAACUUUGGAAAAGUGUUUUUCAUUUUAAUAAAGUGGACAUUAUUUUGAAACAUUUUAAAAUAAUAAGAUGGAUUGCAACAAAGUGAGGAUUAAUAUUUAUAAUGAAAAGUAUUUUUAAUGAAAGUCAUUUGAUAUAAUUAUAAUUCUUAUAUAUUUACAAAUUAAAUAAAUCUAAUUGAUAUUAAAAAUAAAAAAUUUUGUGAUGCCAAUUUAGAAUGAUAAGAAACAUAUAUGACUAUUUCCAUCAAUCAAAAAGUAUAUUCAAUAUCCAUAAGUUUAUAUAUACUAGUAUUUAGUGUCACUGUUUUUUAUUUAUUUUUAAAUACUAAUAAUUUUAUAUAAAAUAUAUUAAAUGUUGUUAAAGUGAAAAUGUAAUUAUCUAUAAAUAUAAGGCACUUAUAAUUAAAAAACAAUUAUAUAUAAAAUAAUUAAUUAAUAUUUCAACUAUAAAAUUUAUAAAUUAUUCUGUACUAAGAAAAUUACUUUUCAAUACAAUUCCAACGUCUCUUUGGCAGCUGGCCCUAGCCAUGGUUGGUCCUAUGAAGGUGAUAACCCUAAGAAAAUUUAUCUAAAAAAAAUUAAAUUUUUAACCAUAACAUUUCAUUAACUAUGAAUAUAGAUAACCCUAAGAAAAUUUAAUUGUCUGAUUACUCAUAAAUAGUAUCAAUAAUACAUAUAAUAAUUUUAUAAUUAUUUAUUUUUUACUCAUAGUUGGAUAAUUGGAAAUUUUAGCUUUUUUCUAUGAAAAGAUUUAUAUUUAAUAUCUUUUUUUUGGGUAAGAUUGGAAACAAUAUUUGUUUUAAUAAUGACAUCAAUUCCACAAUCAAAAUUUAAUUAUCUUGUUGUUAAUAUGCUUGUACAUAUUAAGUCAUAUUUUAUUAAUUUUAUGUGAACGAAAUCAUACUCUAUUGUUUUAUCAUUAAUUAGAAGAAAUUGAAUUUUAUUCCAUUGGUAAAAGUUAUUAAUUUAUCAUUUGAAAUCAAAUUAGAAAGUAUAGUGAUAAAAUUACCUCCAUUCAAAGAGGAAUGAUAAAUUUAAUACACCAUCUGAAAUAAAAUGAUAAAUUUGAAUCUUGUCCCUUUUAAUAAAACAGCUACUAUUCUUUAAUACAUACACUUAUAUUCAAAGUUUGACACAUCAAUUUAAUUUUACAAAAAAACAAGUUGAUUUAAUUGGAAAAAAAAUGAAAAAAUUAUUUGUUUCAAUGUAGGUGAUCUUGUAUUCAAAGUUUGAUACUUCAAUUUAACUAUUACUAGCUAUAGGUCCACAAAAUAUAAAAAAAAAUCGUUCACCUUGAUAUAAUAAGUGAUUUUUAAUUUGAGUCUUAUUAGUGAUUUAUCUUAAUAGUAUCCAAUGAAAAUAGUAUGAAUUUCAGGAAUCUUUUACAGUCGACUUUGAAGUUAGAAAGCAGGGUAGAAUUUACGUAUGAAUUUGAUUCCCACAAAGCCCCUCUUCAUGGUGAUUUCUAUAUUGGAAACAGGUUGAAACAUGGAAACUGCAUAUCCAAUUUCGUCCGAAGCUUCGUUUAUUAGAGUAAAGAGGAACGUAUAAAAUGGAGGCGUCAUCUUUAGACUAAGAGACUCUUUGGCAGGUAGGCCCCGCCCCCCCACGCGCCCCCCCAGUCCCCACGGUUGGACCUACAGACUUAAUAAUUGCCACAACCAGAAGUGCUCGAGCUAAUAUUUUACAAUUUAUCAAAAGUAGAUAAAGACAUGAUGCUUUAACAAAGAGCAUGCUAUGAGAUGGCUUAAAUGAGUUGUAAGACUAAGCUUUCAUUUUAGUUCCUAAUUAUCUAUUAAUUAUUUUAUCUAAAUUUUCAAGUAAAUUUUUAUAUCUUUUAUUUAAUUGAACGUAAUAACAAUAUAAAGAUUUAUCAAAAUAUUCUUAAAUAAUUAAAAACUUAUUUGAGUAUUAUAUUUUUUAUUUUCUAUUCUAAUCAUUCAGAUAUAGGUUGUACUAACAAAAAAUAGAUUUUUUUAUUAGAAAUUGAGUGUGAAAUGGGGCAGAGCUAACUAUGAAAGAGUUGAAGUAGAAGUAAAAAACAGAGAAAUUCAGGAAUCUUUUACGAUGGACCCACACGGCUUUGAAGUUAGAAGGCAGGGUAGAAUUUAUGUAUGAAUUUGAUUCCCACAAAGCACCUUUUCUUGGUGAUUUCUAUAUUGGAAAAGUUGAAACAAGGAAACUGUAUUAAUAUCCAAUUUCCUUUUGAUAAAUGCAUCUUUCAUGCUAUAAAUUAAAGUUGAAGUGCACGUUUGGCCAAAUUAUGAACUAACUACUUCAUUGAUUAGGUACUAAAUGAACGUUUCCAAGUAGCUUCUUUGUCUCUAAAGAAUGGUCUUCUCUCUCUCUCUAAGCAAUUUAAAGUAAAAAAUCUCUUUUCUUUGGACAUGACCUUUUAUAACAUUCUGAAAAAAUAAAAUGACUCAAAAAGAAGAAAUCAGAAAAUCUUAAUGAAAAAUAGAAUCAGGGAAACCUAUUAUGUUUAGUAGGUAUUAAAUGAAAGUUUCCAAGUAGGGAAACCUAUUAUCUCUCCUCAUUUUCCAACUCUAUGCUAAAGAAUGGUUUUCUCUCUCUCUCUCUCUCUCUCUCUCUCACAAAGCAAUUUAAAGCUAAAACCUCUUUUCCUUGGAAAUGACCUUUUCUACCAUUCCAAGAUGAUGGAGUUAGGUAUGAAAACCUACUCAUAAAUACUUUGAAUACUACCAGAUUGAAAAAAAAAUCAUAAUAUUUGAAAAUAUUUUUAAACUAUUCAAAAAAUUCAAAAAUAAAUAUUAUNNNNNNNNNNNNNNNNNNNNNNNNNNNNNNNNNNNNNNNNNNNNNNNNNNNNNNNNNNNNNNNNNNNNNNNNNNNNNNNNNNNNNNNNNNNNNNNNNNNNNNNNNNNNNNNNNNNNNNNNNNNNNNNNNNNAUUUUAAUUCUAAUAAUUUAUCCAAUUAUUAAUUAUAAAAUUUAUUUAUUUAAAAUAAAAGUAUAAAUUUUUUUAAUAUUUAAUUUUUUUUAAAAUAUUACAACAUACAAAAUAUUAAUUAAGUAUUAGAUAAAAAAAUUGUUUAAAUUGAAGAAGAUAUUAAUUACAUGUGCCGGUGUAAUGUCCUAUAAUCCAAGUCACGAGUGAAACACUAUAGAAUUUAUGAGUUGAAAAGUAAAGAAUAGUUGGCAAAAUGUAGUGUCAGUUUCAUCUAGAUAAGGUUGAGAAGAACUCUCAUUCUCCCUAAACCUUCUCUGUUCAUUUCUUUUUUUUUUUCGUAGUUUCCUUGUCUCUGUUGUGUUGGUGGGAUGUCCUUUCAAAAAUUUAAGAUCAAAAGUUUCAACUGUAACAAUUAAUAGCUAAAUAUUUUUUAUUUUUUAUAAUUAAGAGUUAAGGUGAGAGGUAUCUUACGCGUGUAGGAUACGUGCAUGACAUGAAUGAUGAUUUGUAGGAUAAAAUAUAGAAUGAUAGUUUUGUUAGAAAGUCUUUUCGGUUAAGUCAAAAUCAUUCAAAUUAUGAUGUGACGUGUAACAAUUAAAUUUUUUAACAUGACAUGUAAUAACUAAAUCUUCAAUAAAACGCGUAAUAACUAUAUUUUUUAACAUGAUUUGUAACAAUUAAAUUUUUCAACAUAACGUGUAACAAUUAAAUUUUCAAUAUGAUGUAUAAUAAUUAAAUUUUUAAUAUAAUGUCAAUGUGUAAUAAUUAUAAUUUUUAACAUGACAUAUAACAUAACAUAUUUAUUGUACUAAUAAAAAUAAAUCUUUUUUUUUAUCAGAAAUUGUGUGUGAAAUGGUGUAAAGGUGACUCUGAAAAAUUGAAGCAGAAAACAGAACAAUUGGGGAAUCUUUUACGAUGGACCCACACGGCUUUGACGCUAGAACGCAGGGUAGAAUUCAUGUAUCAAUUUAAUUCCCACAAAGCGCCUUUUCUUUGUGAUUUCUAUAUCUACUUUCGUCCGAAGCAUGGUUUAUUCGGAGUAAGAGAAACGAUGGACCCCACUCUUUGGCAGCUCCUACUUUACAAUUAUUCUACUUCACUUUAUCAAAUGUUGAUGAAGGGAUUGUAAGACUAGGCUUCCAUUUUAGCUCAUAAUUAUCUAUCAAUUAUUUUAUCUAAAUUUCCAAGUCAAUCUUUAUCAACCAAUGCUCCACCAACUGAAAGUUAUGGUUUAUCUCUAUUUUUAGAUAUAUACUAUUACCCCAAAAUUUUAAGUUUCUUAUACUUAUAGUUGUAUUGAUUGCACUUUUAUCAAAAGUUUUUCAAGAACUAGAGAGGUUUUUUUUAGAUUUGAUAAUUUUGAACACAAUUAUAUUUUAAGUUUCUUAUACUUAAGCAUUGUGUGAUGCCACACUCUAUGAGUUUUAUGAAUUGGGAGGAAUGAUUUAAGUAUUUUACUGGAAAAAGAUGAGAUGGAGAUGAAAUAUUUUUCAUAAUUAAAAAGAGAUUUAUGAUUGGAAUCAAGGCUAUUGAAGGAAACAAAGUUAUUGACGAGUUUAGGGUGAUGGUUAAAUCCACAAAUUUUCAUUUCUCUUAUAAAAAUGAAAAGUUCUAAAUAAGAAUUUUUUUAGAUUUCUCUUAAGAAAAAUGAGUUUAAAUUUUAAGCUUUGUAAGUUGUGGAGAGAUUUUAAGAGAUUCAUCUAGUUCUGUGGUAGGUAUCUUCUUUGAACCAUUAGCGAAGCAUGACUUGAAAUAUAUUGAUUUGAUCAUGGCAAUCAAAAUUGCUCAUCAUGUUUUUAGUCUAUUUUUUUGGAUGGGUAAGAAAUCUCUUAUUGUUUACACUGAUUCCAAGGUGGCUUUAUUUUAAGAGCGUAACUUGAAUCCAAGACCACAAGAUAAAUAGAAAAUAUUUAGUAAGAUUGAUAAGUUAAGGUCUGUGCAUACUCUCAAAGAAGUUAACAUCUUUGCGGAUUCUCUUGUCAAAUUCUUAAGCCGUAUAUAUAAUGUACAAGUAAUCAAUAAAUACCCUAUACUCACCCCAAAGGACAACACCUUACAAAAAAAUUAAGGAGGAAAAAAGUACACAAAGAUCAUAUACAAGAGGAAACAGUUAAAUUGAUAAAAGCAAUUAAAAUAUGAAACUAAAAUCCUAAUUUGCAAGGACGUAAACUGAUUAGUAGAUUUUACGACCUUCAUUUGAUUUAUUUUUUAUAAUAUAAUUUGAUAAUGUAUUUUGUUUGCUAUGCCUCUCAAGUAGCCCAGAACUACAAGCUAGAAAUAAGUUCAAAGAUUGAUAAUGAAAAGACAUAAGCCAACCUAAUUAUUAUCGUUCUUACCAAGGGAGAAGUCAAUGAAAACACCUUAUUAGUCAACUAGAUACAUUCUUAUGAUUUCAACCUUCAUAAGGUUACCAGCAAACACAAGAUGAUAUACUCAAUUUUGAAGUUGGGAUUUGUACAUAUUUGGGCUGGAGAUGCCAAGAAUUUGAAAAGCUAUAUCACACGUUUGAAACCAUUUUCAUUUCCUAUUGAUAAAUGCAUCUUUCAUGCUAUAAAUUAAAUCCAAUACAUUUGAAGCGCAUGUUUGGCCAACUUAUGAACUAGUUACUUCAUUCAUUAGGUGUUGAGUGAAAGUUUCCAAGUAACUUCCUUGUUCUCCUCAUUUCCAAGUCUAUGCUAAAGAAUGGUCUUCUCUUCUUCUCUCAAAGCAAUUAAAAGCAAAAGCGUCUUUUCCUUAGAAAUGACCUUUUGUAAUAUUCCAAGAUGAUAAGAGUUAGGCAUGGAAACCUACUCAUAAAAUCCUUUGUACACUACUCAGAUUAAAAAUGAAAAAGAAAAAGAAAUUUUCCUUGUAUUGUACCUGAAAAUCAUAAAAUAAAAAAUGACAUAAUACUUGAAAAUGUUCUUGAAUUAUUAAGAAAAUUUUAAAUAAAUUUUUAUUUUUAUAUUAUAUUCAAUUAAAUUAUUAUAUUUUUAUUUUUAGUCAAAUAAAUAAUCAUAAUUAAUGAUUGAUUAAUUACUCACAUGAUGUUGAUAUAAAAAAUAAAAAUAUCACAUGAUUAUGAUAUUAUGUCACAUCAAUAUAUCAUUUUAUCAUUUAUUAUAUCAUACCAACAUGUCAUGUCGACGCAAUAUAAUAUAGAUUGAUAAAUAAUAUUUUGAUUAAUAACAAAUUGAUUAAUUAUUAAUUAUAAAAAUUUAUUUAAUUCAAAUAAAAAUAUAAAUACUUAAUUGAAUAAAAAAUAAAAUCUUUAUUUAAAUUUAUUUAAUAAUUUAAAAUUUUUUAAAUACUAUGACAUUCAAGAUAUUAACUAAAUAUAAAAUAUAAUGUCCUGUAACCAAAGUCACGAGUCGAACACUAAAGAAUUUAUGAGUUGAAAAGUAAAGAAUAGUACGAGAAAAUGGGGUGUCAUUUUCUCUCAAAGUGCUUGUCUCUUAAGCUUUUCUGAUCAUUUCUUUUCUUUUAUGUAGUUUCCUUGCCUUUGUUGUGUCGGUGGGAUGUCCUGUAAAGUCACGAGUCUUUUCAUUCUUCAUCUUCUCCACUCCACAAUGUAAUUUUCAAUGACCACUAAAACAUGGUUAAGUUUUAGUUUUUAACAACAAUAAAUUUUAUUUAAAUACCAAUAAUUAGUUGUACCCAAAAAAGAAAUAUCAAUAAUAAGAGUGGUCGUAUUGUGUUAUUGAAAAUGUAUUAUUGUUAUAAUCAAAUUAAAAUUUUAUCUCAUGCUUUGUUUAAUUAUUUUUUAAUUUUAAGCUUUGCAGGUUUUGGAGAGAUUUUAAGAGAUUCAUCCAAUUCUAUGGCAGAUAUCUUUUUUGAACCAUUAGCCAUCCAUGACUUGAAUUAUACUUAUUUGAUCAUGGCAAUUAAUAUUGCUCAUCGUGUUUUUAGUUUAUAUUUUUGGAUUGGUGAGAAAUCUUUUAUUGUCGAGAUGGAUUCUAAAGUGGCUUUAUUUUAAGUGCGUAACUUAAAUUCAAGAUCGUGAGAUAAAAAGAGAAUAUUUAACGAGAUUGAUAAGUUAACAUUUGUGCAUACUCUCAAAGAAGUUAACAUCUUUGCAGAUUCUUUUGUCAAAUUCUUAAGCCCUAUAUAUAAUGUGAAAGUAACCAAUAAAUAUCCUAUAUUCACUCCUCAUAACAACACCUCACAAAAAAAAUUGAGGGGAAAAAAAGUACACAAGGAUCAUAUACAAGAGGAAACAAUUAAAUUGAUAAAAAAUUAAAAAGUGAAACUCAAAUCCUAAUUUAUAAGAACAUAAAUUGAUUAGUAGAUCUUACUACUUUCAUAUGAUUUAUUUAUAUAAUAUAAUUUGAUAAUGUAUUUUGUUUGCUAUGCCUCCUAAGUUGCCCAAACUACAAGCAAGAAAUAAGUCCAAAUAAUAAUGAAAGGUCAUAAGCCAACCAAAUUAUCUUCUCACCAAAAAAUAAAAGUCAAUGAAAGCACCUUAUUAAUCAACUAGAUACAUUCUCAUUAUUUCAACCAGGUUACCAGCAGUCACAGGAAGAUGAACUCAGUUUUAAAGUUGGGAUUUGUACAUGUUUGGGUCGAAGGUAGCUGCAGUGAUCGGACAUAACCUGAUAGAGAAUAAGUAUGGUACAAUUGAAAUCAGAUAGUUUUCGUGUACACAAGGUAUCCAGCUAUCAUCUUCACCUAUUCCCAUGCGCUUGUGGUCAAGAUGCACUUUCUAAACAAUGAAAAAAAUAACAUGACAAGGUCACGUUGACUGAUAAAUAAGGGCAAAGAAUUUAGAUUUGAGUGAAUAUUAAAUAAAAUCUAAAAGUAAUUAGUAAUAAUAUGCAAGUACAGAUGAACAAGAAAUCCAAAAAUCUAAGCCUUAAUACACCUUUGAUUUAUUGGCAAUUUGACAUGUAUCGGGUGUAUGUAUGCUCUUAUGUAUUAUACAAAGAAAAAAUAUUAUCUAUCUUGAAAAGGAUCUUAUGAUUACAGUUUUUCAAAUUCUGACCUGUAUAAAAAAGAGCUACUAUUAUCAAAUAUGUAAUUAACCCUUUCCAAAUUAACAAAUAAUCUUUAGAUUUUGGGAAAAACAAAGUAGAAUGUGAAUUUCCUGAUUUUGCCCCCCUUUCGCUUGAUGGUACAACUUUCAACAUCUUUAAUAGGGUAGAAAUUGCGUCAGCGGCUCCUACCUCAUCUAGACAACCAAAACCCCUCGCCGUAUGUUAAAUCCUUAUCGAUGCUCUCAUUUCCAUGGAUUUCUCUAAAAUCCAUUUUCGUCCCAUCUUGUUCUGUCAAUAAUUUCUUUUAUAAAAUCGUUUUGAUUAAAUUGUUAACAAAGGAAAUCAUGUAAUUAUUGUACUUUCAUUUUAUUAUUAAUAAUUAUAAUUUUUUUUUUUGUGAAUCCUACCUAUCAAUUUACAUAAUAAUAUAUAACUAUCAUAACAUUAAAUGUAAUAAAAGUUUCAAAUACAAAUUUUGAUAUAACAAAGUUAAUAUAAUUUUCAAAAGAUUUAUAAAUAAAAUAAAAUAAUAAUCUCAAUAUUACAAUUAAUUUAACUUUUUAAAUUCAACAUAAAUUUUUAAAUUUAACUAGUUAAACAUGAGUAAAUAUACACAUAUAAGGAUAUAAAAAAUAAAUAAUAGUAUAAACGGGGCAGGACAGGUGGGCGGGGCAACCACAUACGUCUUGUCCCACCCAACCUAUCAAACAAAAAUAUUGCCCCACUCCUAACCCGCCUUACUUUUCAAUAAAAAAAAAAACCCUCAUUCGAGGUGGAAUCCAUGGAGUAGCUUGGACUUUGCCAUCCGUACCUUUGAAAUAGGAAUGAACAUGUAAUCAACUUUUACACAAUAUAUGUGGGCUAUGUUGAACCCCUUGCAACUGUUUUAAUAGAGAGGUUGGAUUUGAUCUUGUUUAAUUUGUUACUAAGCAACAUCUAAAGGAAAUUGGAAACGUUUCAAAUUGUUUUAGGAUAGUGGAACUUGAAGGAGGAAAGAAAAAAAAAACCUAUAAGUAUAUCCUUUUGAUGUGCAACAUAUAAAGAAAAUGGUGGAGCUAUAUUUGGGUGAUUCCAAAUUCGGUUGAAUGCUUUAUUAGAAAGAUCACGAGGAAUAAGUUCAAUCAUAAGUCUUCUUCACUGAAUGGCAUAAUGAGAACACACUAGUUAUGGAUGACGGAUGAAAAACCAAAGAAUAAAGAAGACAAGCAAAACUCACUGUUUAAAUAAAAGAGAAUGCAGAGCAUAUAAAGCUGGAAAUGCACCGUUUUACUAAGGAGAUUUAUUAACCUUUUCUUUAAUUUUCUAUUAAGUUAGUUGAAUGUAAUUAUUAUGCCUUUUCUUAUUUACUUUACUAUUUAAACACUGUAUAUAUAUUUUUUCUCAUUGAGCAUUGAUUGAAUAGAAAAACCUUGAGAAAUUUUCUCAAGGCUAUGUCGUCUUGUUCUUUUCUUCUGCUCAUUUCUUGACAUGAUAUUAGAGUAGCUUGGAAUCCAACUGACAGUCAGUAUUCUUUUACAGUAGCAAAAGGACUAUUUCAUCAAUAGAGGACAAAUUUGUUACCUAUUCAGCAUCAAUAUUUAGUCUUCUUGCUACUACAUCAUCACUCAGGUUCAUCUAAUCCUUUUAGUAAAAUUUACUCUUUAGUGUUUAGUUCUUAAGAGUACUUUAUUAUCAUUUGAGAAAUCAUGGCUGAGAACAUAAAAUCUAGAACUCAGUCUGGUACACAGACUAAUGCACAAAUCAAGACUCAAAUCACCAAAAUAUCACAUCUAGUAGACCCUCAACCCCUUUAUUACCUACAUCACACCGAUAGUCCUAAUUCAGUGGUUAUUAGCCCCAAACUUACCAGCAACAAUUACAUAGCAUGGAGUAGGUCUUUUUUGCUAGAAAUAUCUAUUAGGAACAAAAUUGGUUUCCUAAAUGGUUCCAUACCUAAACCUCAGGGUACAAAUCCUCUUUACCUAUCUUGGACCCGUUGUAACAAUUUAUUGGUAGCUUGGUUGCUUGAUUCGAUCACACAAUCAAUAGCCUUAACCAUUUUCUUCAUGGACUCAAUAGGUAAAAUAUGAUUUAAUUUGUGAAAUUUGUCCACUUGCAAAGCAAAGAAAACUUCCCUUUCUUGUGCAUAUUCAAAACAUAAAAACAGCUUUUGAAUUAAUACAUGUAGAUGUUUGGGGUCCAUAUAAGACACCAACAUUAUCUAAUCAAAGAUUCUUUCUCACUAUAGUGGAUGACUUUACAUGAUUUACUUGGAUUUUUCUCAUGAGAAGCAAGUUAGAUGUUCUAUCAAUAAUUCCUUCUUUCAACAACUAUGUUCAAAGGCAAUUUGGUUCUUUAAUCAAAUGUAUUAGGUCAGAUAAUAAACUAGAACUAAGGAUGACAGAUUUCUUUGAUAAAACUAGAAUCAUACAUCAUUUAUCAUGUAUUGAAACUCCUCAACAAAAUGGAAUUGUUGAGAGAAAGCAUUAACAUAUCUUGAUGGUAGCUAGGACCUUAAUGUUUUAGUUCGAUAUACCUAUGCAUUUUUUGGGAGAUGCAGUUUUAAUAGCAGUGCAUAUCAUUAAUAGAGUACCUACCAAAUUACUACAAAACAAAUCCCCAUUUGAGUUAUUAUAUGGGAAGCUACCUUCUUAUGACCAUUUAAGAUUGUUUGGGAGCUUGUGGUAUGUGUUUACACUGUCACACAACAGAAAGAAAUUGGAUAAAAGAGCCUUCAAAUUCUCAUGUCAUAGGCUGCAAAUGGGUUUAUAAGGUCAAGCUGAAUGCAAAUGGCACUGUUGAAAGGUACAAAGCCCGGCUAGUUGCUAAGGGCUAUAAUCAAGUAGCUAGGCUUGACUAUCAAGAAACAUUCAGCCCAGUUGCCAAGCAUACAACUGUCAGAGUAUUUUUUUCUUUGGCAGCAACUUUGAAUCUGAAUUUAUCUUAACUUGAUUUAGACAAUGCUUUACUAAAUGGUGAUCUAGAAGAAGAAGUGUAUAUAUAACUGUCAUAGGGGUAUGAAAUCCAGAGGGGAGUAUCCGCAAGGAAUACAACUUGUUUGUGAACUCCAUAAGUCACUAUAUGGCCUGAAGCAAGAUUCUAGGCAAUGGAAUGUCAAGAUUACUUCCCUAAUUCUACAAUAUGGGUUUCAUUAGUCCAUUACAGACUAUUCUCUAUUUACCAAGAAAGAAAAAUAUGGUAAUUUCAUUGCUCUAUUAUUAUAUGUAGAUGACAUAUUGAUUGGGAGCACAUCAUCGCAGGUUGUAACAAAAAUGAAACAAUUUAUGAGCUCACAUUUCAAACUCAAAGACUUGGGAAAGGUCAAGUACUUUCUUGGAUUAGAAAUAAAAAGGGUUUCUUGAAGGAAUUUCAAUAUGUUAAUGGAAAUAUGCCUUAGAUCUCUUAGAGGAACAUGGGUUGCUAGGGGCUAAGGCAAUAUCCACUCCUAUUGACUACAACCACAAACUGUAGAAGACUCAAGAUGGGGACAGGUUAGUUAAUCCAAUAAACUAUAGGCAGAUAGUUGGAAAGUUAUUGUACCUUACAUUUAACAGACUAGAUAUCUCAUAUGCAGUGCAAAUACUAUCAUAGUUCAUGGACAAACUAGGGCUCAAGCAUCUCACAGCAACUCACAGGGAAUUGAAAUACCUUAAAGGUUCACUAGGACAGAGGAUCUUGAUGAAGUCUAAAUAAAAUUUAAAGUUAUCUGCCUACUAUGACAGUGAUUGGGCAGGGUGCCAAGAUUCGAGGAGAUCAAUGAGUGGAUACAAUAUUUUUAUUGUGGAUUCCUUGGUAACAUGGAAAUCAAAGAAACAGCCUGUUGUGGCAAGAAGCUCAGCAGAAGCAAAGUACCGGUGUAUGGCAUCAACAUGUUGUGAAGUUGUUUGGUUAAAACACUUACUCUCAAAUUUUGGGAUAGAAUGUAUAGAUGUUGUAAUCCUUUAUUCUGACAGUCAAUCAGCAAUACACAUCAACAAGAAUCCAGUCUUCCAUGAGAGGACCAAGCACAUUGAGUUAGAUUGUCAUUUCAUCAGAAAGCAGGUGCUUGAAGGUAUAAUUAAACCAAUGUACAUGUCAACCAAUUUGCAACUCGCAGACAUGUUCACUAAGGCAUUAACACCAAGGUAGUUUUACAAUCUUCUAAGCAAGAUGAAUGUUCAUAACAUUCAUAUGUCAUUUUGAAGGGGAGUAUUAGAAAGAUCACGAGGAAUAAGCUCAAUCCUAAGCCUUCUUCACUGAAUGGCAAAAUAAGAAUACUCUAGUUGUGGGUGAGGGAUGGAAAAACCAGAGAAUAAAAAGAGACAAGUAAAGCUCACCGUUUUAAAAAAAGAGUAUGCAAAGCAUAUGAAGUUGGAAAAGCAUCGUUUCACUAAGGAGAUUUAUUAGCCUUUUCUUUAAUUUUCUUUUAAGUUAGUUGAAUGUAAUUAUUAUGAUUUUUCUUCUUUACUUUACUGUUUAAACAUUGUAUGUAUAUUUAUGCUCAUUAAGCAUUGAUUGAAUAGAAAAAACCCUGAGAAAGUUUCUCAAUGUUGUGCCGUCUUGUUCUUUUCUUUUACUGUAAAUGAAGUAGUUUUCUACACUUCUACUGGCUAAUUCUAAUACUGUAAGCACAUGGCCAAUGAAUAAUGAUCACUUUCUAACGUAAUAGAAAAAUAGUAAUCACUUUUUUUUUACUCUUCUCUAAAACGAGAGAAAAAAACUCAAAUUACCAUUUUUUUUCUUUUUGUAGUUUCCUUGCCUUCGUUGUGUCGGUUGAAUGUCCUUUCAAAAGUCACGAGUCUCACAAGAAAAUAUAGUCUUUUUAGUGCAAAAUGUGGUGUCAUUUCAUUGUUCAUCUUCCCCUUCACUCCACAAUGUAUUUUUCAUUUUUUAGUGACCACUAAAAAAUGGUUAAAUUUUAGCAUUUAACAACAAUAAAUUUGAUUUAAAUAUCAAUAAUUAGUUGUACCCAAAAAGGAAAUACCACUAAUAGGAGAAGUGGUAUUGUGUUACUGAAAAUGUAUUAUUCUUGUAAACAAAUUAAAUUUUUUAUCUUAUGUGUAGUUUAAUAAUUUUUUUAAUAUUUGUGUUUAAGAUUUUGAGAUGAAGUGUUCAUUUUGAAUAUUAAUAUUGGACUUGAGAUGAAUUAAUGAGAUGAAUUAAUGUCAAAUCUUAAAAGGUGGGGUAAUUUAUCUAAAAAAAUUAGAUUUUUAACCCUAACAUUUCAUGAACCAUGAAUAUGGAUAAUGCUAAGAAAAUUCAAUUGUUUGAUUACUCACAAAUAGCAUCAAUAAUAAAUAUAAUAAUUUUAUAAUUAUUUAUUUUUUAUAAAUAAUUGGAUAAUUGGACAUUUUAGCAUUUUUUCUAUGAAAAUAUUUGUAUUUAAUUUUUAUUACUGUAAAUUUAGAUAGGUAGAUCAAAUUUAUCUUUUAUUUUUAAAAGGAUGUAAUUUUUAUUACCGUAACUUUUAAUUGAUUAAAAUAUAAUUAAAUAUUAUCAAUAAAAGAAUGUUAUAUAAAAUAUUUUAAUUUUUUAUCAUUUUAAAUUAAAUUAGAAAGUAUAAUGAUAAAUUUAUGUCCAUUUAAAGAUGAAUGACAAAUUUAAUAUACCAUGUUAAAUAGAAUAGUAAAAUUUAUAUAAUAUGUCCAUUUAUGUUAAUGCUAUCUAAUAAAAAAAGUAAUUUCUAGCAUCCUUCUAAAAGUUGAAGCAACUUAUUUGCUCCAAAAUUUUCACAUGGAAAGAUAUUUGACUAAUACUCAAUUUGGGGUUAAAAUUUUUAGGUUUUGGUCAAUUUAGGGCUAAAUAUUUCAAUUGUAACAAUUAAAGACUACACGUUUUUGGUCUCCUUACAAUUAAAAUUGUAACAUCAUGUGUAGCAACUGCAUUUUUCAAUAUAAUAUGUAACAAUUAAAUUUUCAAUAUGGCAUAUAACAACUAUAUUUUCAACAUAAUAUGUAACAAUUAUUUCCAAAUCAGUUGCCAUGUCAUCAACUCAACUGAUUUUUUGUCGCGUGUGAUACAAUUUCUAUUCACUUAUCAACUUAACCCUUAAUUAUAAAGAAUAAAAAAUGUUUGACCUUUAAUUAUUACAAUUGAAAUGUUUGACUCUUAAUUGUUACAAUUGAAACAUUUGACCCUUAAUUGAAAAGAUAUCCAAAGGUUUAACCCCAAUUAAAGCAUUUAGCCAAGAUAUUUUAUUGAUAUGAAACAUUGCCAACAGAUUCUAAUAAAAUGUAAUACAUUGUAACACAUUAUGCCUACGUGUCAAUAUAUGAGAGGUAAUACUUUUGUAGGUUAACACUUUCAUAUUUUUUAAAUAACGUAAUAAAAUGUACUAACUAAUUUAUUUUCAAUGCUAAUCAUUCAAAUAUUUGUUGUAUUAACAAAAAUAAAUCUUUUUUUUUAUCAGAAAUUGAGCGUGAAAUGGAGUAGAGGUAACUGUGAAAGACUUGAAGUGGAAGUAAAAAGCAGAGAAAUUCAGGAAUAUUUUAGGAUGGACCCACACGACUCUUAAGUUAAAAAGCAGAGUAGAAUUUAUGUAUGAAUUUGAUUCCCACAAAGCCCCUGUUCUUGGUGAUUUCUACAUUGGAAAAAAGUUGAAACAUGGAAACUGCAUAUCCAAUUUCGUCCGAAGCUUGAUUUAUUAGAGUAAAAGAAACGUAUAAAAUGGAGGCAUCAUCUUUAGAGUAGGAGACUCUUUGGCAGCUAGCCCUCCCCAGUCCCCACGGUUGGACCUACAGACUUAAUAAUUGCCACAACCAGAAGUGCUCCAGCUCAUACUUCACAAUUAUUCUACUUCACUUUAUCAAAAGUUGAUAAAGACAUGAUGCUUUAACAAAGAGCAUGCUAUGAGAUGGCUUAAAUGGAUUGUAAGACUAAGCUUUCAUUUUAGUUCCUAAUCUAUCGAUUAUUUGAUCUAAAUUUCCAAGUAAAAGUUAUACUUUUACUCUAGAACUUUGGACUUUCUAAUACUUACUUAUCUUGACUUGCACUUUUACCAAAAGUCUUGCGAGAAUUAGAUGUGUUUCUUUCAAAAAUAAUUGUUGUUUAUAGGUUUGGUGUGAUUUGUACCGCAUGAAUUGCUGUCAUAUAUUAAUUUCAUGGUAUUAUUCAUGAAUUAUCUGAUGUUAUAUUUUUUAAUGCUACCAUUUGUAUUAACCAAAUUUAUUUCAUGAAAUAUUUCAAUUCUAUUGUUUUUUUUCUUCAAAAUCAACGAAAUUAAAAGUAUAAUGAUUACUUCACUCUAAAAAAAAAGUAUAAUGAUAACAUUCAAUAAAAUUAUAAAUAUAAUGAAAAACUUUAAUAUUAAGUCGUGACAAAUUUCGCCAUUAUCACUGUCCAAUUCAUUCUCAGGCUCUAUAUAUAAUGUGCAAGUAACCAAUAAAUUCCCUAUAUUCACCCCAAAGAGCAACACCUUUACAAAAAAUAGAGCGAAAAGAGAAGUACACAAGGAUCAUAUACAAAAGGAAACAAAUAAAUUGAUCAAACAAUUUCAAUGUGAAACUCAAAUCCUAAUUUGCAAGUAUAUAUAUAUAUAAUUUGAUAGUGCAUUUCGUUUGCUAUGCCUCCCAAACUACAAGCAGAAAUAAGUUCAAAGAUUAAUAAUGAAAAGUCACAAGCAACCUAAUUAUCAUUCUUACAUAAAAAGGAAAAGGAAAAGUCAAUGAAAGCACUUUAUUAGCAACCAGAUACAUUCUCUUGAUUCCAACCUUUGGAAGGUUACCAGCAAACACAAGAGGAUGGACUCAAUUUUGUGAAUGUUAUGGCCAGAGGUACCUGCAGUGAUGGGACACAACCUGAUAGAGAAAGAGUAUGGCACAAUCGGAGUAAGAUACUUUCUGUGUAUCUAGGGUUUUUUUUUCCAAAGGGAGAAGGGGAUUUGAACUCUGUUUUUUAAGCUGGGGAUUAUACACCAUCCAAUGAGUUAAACAAUGAAAAAACAUAAUAUGACAAGGUCACAUUGGUUGAUAGAUAAGUGGAAGGAAUGAGAUUUGCGUAAAGAUGAACAAGACAUCCAGAAAUCUAAGCCUUAAGACACGUUCAAUUCAUUGGAAAUUUGACAUGUAUUGUGUGUAUGUACAUAUGGUAUGUAUAUGAAAAAAGGGUAUGCAACCUCCCAGUGUGCCUACAAACAACAAACAUAACACUUUUCAUCGUUCCAAUCUCAAAAUGAAGGUCCUGAUUAAUUUCAUAUUCAUGCAAAAAACAUAAAACAAAUCGACAGGAGAGACAUGAAUUACUCAGACUUCCAAGUGUACUUUGUCAAGGUGAUACUUUGUCAUUCCAAGUAUCCUUAGCAGAACAUUCAGUUAACCAUUGAUACCAGGACAAUUGUUCUAUUUGACUUGCAACAUCUUUCUUUCUUUUCUUUUGUUCACAUUUUCUAUUCUUUUCUUUCUUUUCCUUUUGGCCAAGUAUCCUUAGCAGAACAUUCAGUUAGCAUGCUACCAUGAUCACCACCUUAGUGUAAGACUUGCAUACCUGCAGUAAUAACAGGGAAAUGUCAUUUUUUGAAAUCAAUGCUCAUAUAAUCUUAACAAAAAUGACAUGAAGCAAAAUAGUAGUAGUAUUUAGUCACCUGGCCUCCAAUUUGAUUAUAGAUAAGUGACCAUCUUCUAAACCAUGAAAUGAAUUUGCAAAAGUGGAUCAUACUACUCUAUUUAUCAGUAAUCUGAAAGUUUAGAAUGAACAUAAAUCAACAGAUUUUAAAUGAAGUUACAGUAACAGAAAUUUAUAAAAGAAAAAAAAUCUAAUACAAUAGUUCAAUCAGAAGCAAUUGGUUCCAUUAUUUUUUUUUUUUUUGAAAAGUGAAUUUAUUCAACCUCAAUACUGGUAUGCCAUCUCAAGUCUCUUGUCUAAAUGCCCAAAGACUACCGUGGCAUUAGAGACCUGGUAUGGGUGUGUAAACUCGAACAAUUACAUUAAGAAAGCCAGCCAAAAAAUUUGGUGGCUGCUCAAAGAGAUGGAAACCAUAAAAAUUAAAAAAAAAUGCCCUGUGAAACCAAAUUUUUGGAAAUUUGAGGUUGUAUAUACCAUGGGGUAGAUCUUGGAGAUUUGUACAAUUUGAGAGGUAGAGCACUUUGAGGUUUGUGGCGGGCAAACCAAUUUCUGGAAAGGAAACCAAAUUUGUACAUUCUAUGUUAAUCUUCUGGAGAUGGCAGAGCCUGUUCAAACCUUGAGGUAAAUAAUUAAUCUUAUCACAAUCAGAGAUAAGAAUACAUUCAAGAGCAGCAUUUUGUUGAAUUUCUUGGGCUAUUGAUUCUAGCUUUGGACAAUACUCUAUUUGCAAUUCUUUUAGCCCUCUAGGUAACUGACCUCUUGAUGAUAAAGAUACAAGAGAUGAACAACCUAAAACAUUCAAGUGCUCAAGAAGAAAUGCACUGUCGAUGUUGAUAUUCUCUCCCUCAUCCCACAAACAGCGUAAAUUAUGACAAAACCAAAUCCUCAGCCUAUUCCGGCUCAAAGGCAAAUUGCUCUUUGAAAGCGAAAUCAGUUUCGGGCAAGACUCGAGCACUAGCACCCUAAGCGACGUGAAGGACUGCAAGGUUGUUGAUAUCUUUUCUAGCUUUUCACAAUCCUCUACUACCAUACGUUCAAUGCUGUAAGGGAUCUUCAAUUGCAUCAAUUCUUCUCUUUCCCCUUCUACCCCUAUGGAUAAAAGUUGCGCACAGCCUCUAAUUGUCAAAUUACCAAGGGACAUUGACUGAGUUAACAAUCCCCAAUUGUUCUCUCGCGAAGAGAACAACUCUUCACAUCUAAGAAUCUUAAGGGAUUCCACUCUUAUUGAUCCUAACCUCAAACAUUCUCUUGUACAAGUAAACUUGGGAAUGUUUGAAAAAAAGACUUUUUGUAAUGAACUAUGAUCUGCAAACCCUUUAUAUACUACCUUCUCGCAUUCAUCAAUUUCUAAUUCUGAAAGCUUUGGAAAGCUUGAAAUUGAAAUUUCCAAUUUCUCACAGCUUUUAAUCACAAGUUUCUCCAAUGCAGGAAGCGAUUCCGGUAUACUUCCCAACAGUUCGGAGCAAUAGCAAAUAUGGAGCUCUCGAAGUUUCGAAAAUUUCAUGGCUUCAUCAUCAACUUCCCAAUUCUCCCAGUUAAGCAUGUAUCCAAAUCGUAAAAUCUCCAAUGAUGAAAAUGCAUUUGGUGUGUUUUCUCCUAAGAACUCGAGUCCAACACUAGUUACAUUAUGCAAUCCCUGGAUGCAUACUUCUUUCAACAAUGGCAAUUUCCCAAUUGAUGGCAAUGACAUGCAAUUUAGACAAUUUAUGAGGGAUAAAGAUAGUAAAUUAUUGAACGAAGAAUCUCCUACCCAUUUUGCCAAUGUGUCACCACAAUAGCCCACAAUGGUGAGCUUCUUAAGCUUUUUAGAAGGUUGAAGCGAAUCCAACACCUUUUUCUCAACUUCUUCUGUUGCAUUACCAAAGCAGCUACACCAUUUCAAUUCUAACCCAUCGAGUCCCAUCUUCUCUUGUAACUUAGCCCCACAUGCAUCUUGAGUUUCAAUAACAUUUUCUAACCCAGAAAUACAAAGUUGACCCUUGAGUUUGGUUAAAUCCUUUAGCUCCCUUAUUUGAUAGCCCUUUCUUUUACCGGCGACAAAAUUAGAAAGUGUUUGAAGAUUAGUCAAUCUACCAAAAUUACUUGGCAUGCCUUGUAAUCUAAUUGCAUCAAUGAUAUCAAGAUGACAUAGGUUCACUAAGUUUUCCAUCUCUGAAGGUUGCUUCACAAGGUGCUCACACCUCCUUAACAAAAGGGUUUCUAAAUUAUAGAGGGUGCUUAUUGACUCAGGCAAGCUUCUAAUAAAGGUGCGAGAAAUAUAUAGGUAGCGUAAGUGUUUUAAAUCUCCUAUAAAAUCUGACAACACUUUGAUCUUAUACCCUUUCAAAGAAAGCACCCUCAAGCAUCUCAAACAUGGCAACAAACAUGUUAGAACAUUGCUGGUUACAAAGCCAUUACCAUAACUUGACAACCUCAAUGGCAAAAAGGUUCGUAAAUACUUUGCUUCCCAAAUGCCUUUAAACUUUUUGAUGCCAUCACACUCAUCAGCAAUGUAAGAUAAGUGGCGAGCCUGCUUUGAAAUUUGCUUAUCACGCUCUAUUCUAAAGCAUAUUUCUCCAGCAACUGAUUGAGCCAGAUCAUGAAUGAGGUCAUGCAUAACAAAUCGAGAAUUAUCGUUGCUGGAUAUUUGCAAAAGAGACCUUGAUAGUAGAUUUCUAAAGUACUGGUGACCCAAAUCUUCAAUGCGUUGUCUAUCUCGUGCUUCUUGUAGAAAACCUUCUGCCCUCCAUAACAAAAUUAUCUCUUCUUCUUCAAAUUCAUAAUCCUUAGGAAAAAUGGAGCAAUACGCGAAGCAUCGUCUCAAAUGCGGAGGAAGAUGAUGGUAACUUAAUUGUAGAGCUGGAAUUAUACCACAUUGAUGUUCUGAUAAUUGCCAUAUCUCACUCUCUAAUAUAUUUUUCCAAGCAUCAUGUUCAACAUUCGUACGUAACAAUCGUCUCAAAUGCUCAAACCCAUGCUUUGAGGUCAAAAUGAUUUUGGAUACUAGCAUCAUUGUAAACAAGUUGGGCCAAGGUUGUCUUACCAACCCCUCCCAUGCCAACGAUGGGAAUCACAAAAUUUCGUUCAUCAUCACUCUUGAAGGGCAAUUCGAGUAUUGUCUCCUUGUCUUUGUCUCUACCAUAAACAUGAGUUUCGAUCUCCACAGAAGUAGGCUGCGGCCGUUCUUCUAUCCUUUUGGAUCUACGGUAGUCUCUCGUUCUCUUCUGCAACUUUUUUUUCUGUGGUUCUAAAUCUUUCAAUCUGGCAGUGACAUCAUUUAUCUUGGACAUCAUGUCCCUGUUAAACAUAACAGCGAUGUAUGAAUCAGAAAUCAUGAGUCUGGGUUUCUUACUUGAGCUACCUCGACGUUCCAUCAUCAAAUUGCGCAUUGAAAUGUCGGUUGCAAUCUCGUCCAAAAUGUCCUCCACGUCGUAUGCCAAGUUCUGCACGAAUCUUUUAGCUGCCUCUCCUCAGCAUCAUCCAGCACUGCACGAAUCUCCAGCAAUUCCGUCUUCAACUUCUCGAUCUCCAGGUGGAUCUUCUUUUCAGUAGCAAAUUGCAGGAAGUCAGAAGAGACCAACUUGUCUAUGAGAAAGUCUAAGAACUUGGAGACAACAACUUCUCGUAUAGCGGACAGAGCAUCAAAGAAAGACAUGGUUGCGUUCUUGCAAGAAAUUGCAGGAAAUCAAAGUAGAGAUAAUUCAGAAAAGGGUGAAGCUAGAGGUGAAAGUUAGUCACGAUUAAUUGAAUUAGUGAUCACUUUGAUUUGUCCUUGUGUCCACCGAUAUUGAGAAUACUUCAGAGAUGGAACUUCCCGAUGCAUGUUUAUUGGAGUGAUGUUUUAGCCUGUUCUAGAUGUUUAAGAUGCUCCCCUGAGAAUGAUUGGAAAAUCAGAAUGUAGGAAUAUUAAUUAAGCAUAGGACCCAGAACCCAACAAGUUUUAAUUGUAUUUUAAUAUUCCAAAGAAGAUUGGGCGGCUGACCAGGGGUCGUUUGGACACACAACAUUUUUUAAUGUUCAUUUUUAUUGGAUAAAAUAUACAUAAUUUUCAAAUAUUUAAUUAGGUAAAAUAGUUACAUUUUUAUUUUUUUUAAAUGGCUUCCUAUUGUAUCCUCUAAUGGAUUAAAAAAAUUACCACUUGUAAUUGAACAUUAAUCACUUUCUAACAUAAUAAGGAAGUUUUAAAUUCUCUUUUCUAAAACAAGAGAAAAAACUCAAAUUUUCGUUCUUUAAAUCAAAUGAUUCAUGCACACAGAACUUUCCAAAAAAAAAAAAUCAAAUGAUUAACCUCAACUCUAAAAAAUUGUAAAACUUGACAAAUGCAAUAUGAUGCAAGAGCAGCAAAUUAAACUUUCAAAUUUACUAUUAUUGCUUCGUUCCCAUACACUACAACUCCCCAUUGGGAGUCCAAACCUAUUUGAAGCCUUUAUGAAUCCCAUGACUAUCGACAUAAGACAAGUAAUUAAAUUUGAAAUUAUUUAAAAAAAUUUAAAAGUUCAAAAAUCGUUUCCAAAAAUAUUUAGUUGUAUAGAAAAUAGUUAUAGUAAGUCUAAUUUUAUUGUAAGGUCAAUUCAUAUGAUUUUAAAAAAAUAAUUAAAAUCUAUCUAACAGGUUAAUAAGUAAACAACAUAACUAAUUUUUUACGUUAAUCCAUUUUAUGUUUACAAAAUAGGUAAUUGUUGAUCUUAUCUUAUUUAAAUGUUAUUUAAUUUUUCUUUUUAUUUUAUAUUUUACCUUAAAAUAUAAUAAUAAUAAUAUUUUUUUAUUAUUAACAUUCUAUCUAACCAAUUUAAUUCAAUUAAACUUUUUAUCAUAACUUAUUGCGUUAACUCUUACACAUUUAUGUUAAUAUUUGAAUAAUGUUUGUUUCACUUGUAUGAUUUUUUACGUUAAUUCUCAUAAAUUCACAUAAAGGUUUUCAAUUGUUAAUUUUUGCUAUAAUUAUUUUUAUCCUUGUUAUUAUUUAUUUGUAAAUUAAAAUUUGUAAAUCGUGAAAUACUUUUAGCUCGAUAAUAUAAAUUUAAAUAUUUAAUUUUUACAAAAAUUAUACACAUUUAUGUUAAUAUUUUAACAAUGUUUGUUCCAUCUUUAUAAUUUUUCAUUCUUUUUGUUAUAAAAUUAAGUCUUUAAGAGUCAAACACUACAGAAUUUCUGUUCUUUUCUUUUCCUUUCUUAGUUUCCUUGCCUUAUGCUGUGUCGGUGUGAUGUCUAGUUUCCAAAGUCAUCAGCCUGACAACAAAAUGUAUUCUUCAAGAGUCAAACACUAUAGAAUUCUUUGUUCUUUUCUUUUCCUUUCAUAGUUUCCGUACCUUUGCUGUGUCGGUGCGAUGUCUAGUUUCCAAAGUCACCAGUCUGACAACAAAAUGUAGUCUUUAAGAGUCAAAAUAGGGUAAAAUAUUCUUACCCUCUCACUUUGAAUUAUAAUUUUAUACAAGUUCAUUAAUUUUUGAAAAAAAAACUCCACUCCUAAAAAAUAUUUUUUAUUAAACACAUAAGUUCAACUAUUAAUCAACUGUUAAUGUUUCCGUUAGUUUGAUAAUGUGUCAAUAGUGAAAAGAUAAUUUUACCUUUUAUUAUUUUUAAAAAUUACUAUUAUUUCAAUUUUUUUUACAAAAAAAAAAAAUCAAGAAAGCACCGUUUGGUGCUCCCCAAGGGAGGGAGCACCGAUCUAGGAGAGGGUGCUCCCUUCCCUAGGGGAGCACCUGUCGUGGGGUGGUCAGCAGGCGAAUGGGAGCGUUGCCGGUCGACCACAAUGUUUUGAGAGAAAAAAAAAAAAAAGAAAAAGAAGAAAGAGCAUUUUAGUUAUUUUAUAUUUUUGUUAACAGUGUUUACAUUUUUGAAUAGAAUGUUUAUUUCGAAAACUAAUGGACCGUCUGAAAUUAUAACUAAAGUAACAAAGUGACAGUUUUUUACUCGUCAAAAUAUGACAUCAUUUUCAUUGUUCAUCUUCUCCACCACUCCACAAUGUAUUUUCAUUUUUCAAUGACCACUAAACAGUGGUUCAAUUUUGGUUUGUACCUAAAAGGAAAAUACCAAUAAUAAGUUGCGUAAUUGAAAACUCAUUAUUGUUAUAAACAAAUUAAAUUUAUUUUAUGCGUAGUUUAAUAAUUUUUCUAAAGGGUACCUUAUAAUUAAGAAAAAAAAUAAGGAAAGAGAUUGGAUGCUUUAAAAUUGAUAUUUUGAGGAAAACUGAAAAUUAAUGAGAGUUUUCUUUUGUUUUUUGUAGAAUAAAAGUGAAUAUUUAAAAUAACAAAAUUUUAAGCAGAAUAAUAUGACCAGUUUCAUGAUUGGAAAAUGGGAAGUUCAUUAGUUAUCGAGUGAAAGUUUGCAAAUGCAAAGAAUGGUCUUCUCUCUCUCCCCUUCUAAAAGCAAGCAAAAGCAAAAACCUCUUUUCCUUGGAAAUCACCUUUAGCAGCAUUCCAAGAUGAUGGAGUUACGUAGAACAUCAUCCAAGAUAUGUAUGAAGAAUAGGAAGAAGAACCCAACAAGUUUUAAUCUUAUUUUAAUAUUACAAAUUGUAUUGGACGGCUGACCACGAGUAAAUAUGUAUAUAUUUACUAACAUUUUUAAAUAUGUAUAUAUUUAUUAAUUUAAAAGAAAAACAAAAAGUGUAAUGAAAGUGAUUAGAUAUUUGGAUAUUGAUAUUUUAAAAACAAAUAUAUAUUUAUAUUUGAUAACCAUGGGUAUAUUGAUCUUAAGUAUUAUUAUUGAGAAAGAUGUUGUGGUUUCAUUAAUGAGUAAAUCUAAAAAUUUAUAUAAAAAAAUACCACUUGCUAAGCAAAUGAUCCAUAAACAAUAAUCACUUUCUCUAUUUCAUAUUAGUUGAAACAAAAUUACUUUAUAUAAAAGAUCUCAAAAUUCUCUUCUCUAAAUCGAGAGAAAAAAAAACUUACAUUUCCAUUCUUUAAAGCAAAUAACCAACCUCAAAUCUAAAAAGUUGUAAAACUUAACAAAUACAAAUUAUUACAAAAGAGAAGAAAAAAACUAUUGAAAAAUAUGAAUUAUGAGCAUACCACACAAUUUUUUUUCUUUUUUUUUUUACUCAAAAUUGUUUUUUUUUUUUACAUAGCCAUCAUAUUAAUCACUAAUGGCAUUUAUUUAACCAAAAACAUGAGCUUAUGGAUGAAAACUAAAGCAUGUAAAGAGAAAAAUUGAAAGAAAUUAACAACAACUUGGGCUUUGCUUGCCAUUUUGCUUUUUUAGAAAAAUGGAAGAAACUUGUGUUGCCAUAUAAUUGAUAUGAAUUGACCUUUGUUUGUUGCUAUAAGCCAACUUAAAUGGCAUGACGGCUUUAUGCUUAAUAAAAACACUUUUCAGAUAAAAGAAAAAAAAAAGAAACUAGACUUGAAGGAAACUUGCAGAAAAGUUUCUUCAAGAAAUGACAAAAUAAUAUUCAGAUUCCUAUUAUAUGUUUGAUGAAUGCUUCAUGCUCCAAUAGCUUUUCAAGUAAUUGCUAUUUUCAAACGAGAUCGAUCAUUCGCAAGCUCUAACAAGAAACAGAAAUUGCUAUUUUCUUAAAACCAAUUCCAAUUCCUUUUAAACCUUGAUCCCUAGAUAUCAUUCUCAAUAACAGGGAGUUGAUUAAGGCCAAGACAUCAAGACUAUUAUUCUAUACAACUUUGGGAGAGAUUUUAAACAAUAUAAACUAAAUUAAAAUAUUAAAAAAAUCUUUAAUUUAUCGUAUUAAUUUUCUAAUUUUUAAAAAUAUAUUUUCAUGAAAUUUAUGACAACCCUUUAAUCUGUUAAUUAGUGGAAUUUUUAAAACUGCAAUGACUAUUUAUUAUAUAAUGACAAAAUAAAAAUUGUUUAAUGGCAUAUGAAUAUUAUUCAAGGCCUUAACCGCAGGAUGAGGCACCAAACAAGUUGUAAUUGUGUUAUAUAUUCCAAAUUGAGUUAAUUGUGGACAGCUAUACCGCAAUGGUUUGUUUAGACUGAUCCCCACUAUAAAAUUGAAAUAUGAUUAAUGGCAUAAUCACACAGGAUGACGAAUUCAACAAGCUUUGACUCUAACAACUCCAAUAUAAGUAGAGAAAUUGGAGGAAAAUGGAAGUAGAGAAAAUUCAGAAAAGGAUGGAGCUAGAGGUGAAAGUUAGUCAGGAUUAAUUGAAUUGGUGAUCACUUUGAUUUGUCCUUGUGUCCGUCGAUAUCGAAAAUACCUUAGAGAUGGAACUUCCCUAUGCAUGUCUAUUGGAGUGAUAUUUUUUAGCCUGUUCUAAACGUUUAAGAUGCUCCCUUGAGAAUGAUUGGAAAAUCAGAAUGUAGGAAUAUUAAUUAAGUAUAGGACCAAGAAUCCAACAAGUUCUAUUUGUAUUUUACUAUUCCAAAGUAGAUUGGGCAGCUGGCCAGGGGUGGUUUGGAGUCUAGCAACAUUUUUAAAGGGUAAAUUUUUUAAUGUGCAUUUUUAUUAGAUAAAAUAUACAUAAUUUUUGAAUAUUUAAUUAGAUAAAAUAAUUACUUUUUUAUUUUUUUUUAAAUGGUUUCCUAUUGUAUCCUCUAAUAGAUUUUUAAAAAAUACCACUUGUAAGCAAAUGGCCAAUGAACAAUAUGAUGAAGGGCUGCAAAUUAAGCUUUCAAAUUGGCUAUCAGUAUUCCAUCUUAUUGCUUCGUUCACAUACAUUGGGAGCCCAAACCUGUUUGAAGCCUUUAUCAAUCCCAUGACUAUCGACAUAAGAUAAGGAAAGUAAUUAAAUUUGAAUAUAUUCAAAAAAAUAAAAAAGUUGAAAAUCAUUUUUAAAAAUAUCUAAUUGUAUAGAAAAUAAGAAAACUUAGUUAUUACCUUAAAUUUUUCUUGACAAGUAAUUCAUUGAUUAUGAUUACAAGGGAAACCCCGUUACAGCCAGCCGUUAAUAGCCAGGUCAACUAGCUAGAAACCACAUGCUCCAAGCAAUUAAGGCAUUACAAGGGACUACACAACCCCAUCAUAGAAACAAAUUCUAAAAUGGAAAACCUCUCCUCAAAGCCAUACUCCUUCUCUAUGGAGCUAAAAGAAUCAACUCACUCUGUUGGGAACCUGAAAUCAUCACAAUUGAACUUGCCCAGCACAAUAGCAGCAAUCCAGCUAAGACCACGCAAUAACAAAUAUCUUUAGACAAGCUUAACAAUUUCUCCGUCAUAACCCAUCUUUAGCCAACUUGCACUUCUCAAAGUAUGAAUGAUCUUUCAAUUAAUUAUCUUCCUUUUAAAAAAUUCAAUUUUGAGUAAUCACUUUCUAUACUUCCAUGGUGCACUAUUCGGAUCACUAACACACUUAACAGUGUUAAUAGAAUCACUCUCAAUUAGUAAGGACUGAGUAGACUGCCAUCCAGAUGAUACAAAAAUUUUUAAGGCUUCUAGUACUGCACUCAGUUCCUUGAAUUUUGGGUCAUGCACCCCUAUAGAUUUUGAGAACAUAAUUUUAACUUCAGCCAAUUCAGUCCUUGGAACUCCACCAAUACUCACCUCCCCUUGGAUUUCCCCUAACAGCCCUGUCAAUAUUAAACUUCAACCACUUAUUACCUUUAUUUAAUUCAUCAUUUGCGAUGUAAAAUAGGGAUGAAAACUGAAAAACAUUUUCUACAACUCUAAGAGCAGUAAAGUAUGUAAAGUGACAAGAAAAACUGAAACAGCAGAUUAGGCUUUGCUUUCUAGCAACAAAAGUGGUGGGAACAUGAUUAUUCUGAUAUACCAAGAAAAAGUUGACAUCACAAAUGGAAUUUUGGACAGUAUUGAGUGAUGAAUACUUAAAGAUAUUGUACUAGUACAAAAAUGUGAGGUUAAUCUGCAACAGAUUCCAAUAGGUUCACCUGACUUGUCUUGGUCAGCAAGAAGUUAUGAAACUGGGAUUUUAUCUUCUUCACUUUUGAAUUUGAGCUUCCAAUGCAUUACUACUAAAGUAUUUGUUUGAAAAUUGCCCAAGAAAUAAUAAAAAUAAAAUUAAGAGACAUCAAAAAAUAAAAAAACAUAAAAAUUUACUUGGCUCGGCGUCUUAUCUACAUCUAUGGAGUGAAACAAUUCUACUACUAUUAAAAAAUACACUACAAUAAAAUUGACUUAUAUGUUAUUUAAAACAGUUUCAAACCAUUGUUUGGAGUAAUCCAAACUGAGUAUUAAUCGUCAAAAGUAUUUCUUCAGCAUCAGAGGAAGCUCAUAGAGGAUAACAUGGAUCAACCUGUAUUUCCAUAAGGAACCUGCAUGUUAAUGGUCAAGGACUUCCAUUUUAGUCAAGUACAAAAUAUGUAAAAGAUUGGAAAUACUACCUGAUCUCUAAACUGAAUUAGCAUGCUUAAGUCAAUAUAUCAGUAUUUGUUAACUUGGCUAACAGUGGAUCAUAAUUUUAGCAAGUUCAAAAGAAAACCUUGCUAUUUCCAAGUCAUCUAAAAGUUUACAGCGGAACAGAGUUAUUUACAACUUUAAACUUAUGGUACGGACUGACCAAAAUGGAAAAGAAAAACUAAAGCAUGUAAGAUGAUUUAGUGAAAAAGGGGAAACAAACAUAUCGUAUCUCUGGUGAGAAACAAUAUCUGCGCCGCACUACACUUCUCCCUAUCAAACUUACGCAUUAAGCCAAUUACAGUUACACUUUUUUCCCUAUAGAUAUGCAGUGUUAAGAAAUAAAACAGUCCUUCUCAAGCUUAAGUUUUGCAAUUAUUUUUCCAGUUUGGUCAUCUCAAAAUGAAGGCCCUGAUUACUGUCAUUUUCAUGAAAAAACAUAAAACAAAUCGACGGGAGAGACAGGAAUUACUCAGACUUCCAGAUGUACAACGUGAUACUUUUUCACUGAUGGUUUACACUCGAAUCAUGCCUGCAAAAUAAAUCAUAAGAAUAUCUUACAAGUUUUAACAAGAAAGUGAGAUGAAGAAAACUAUUGUUUUGGAAUUUUAAACAUGAAAGUGAAAAGUGUUUCCAAGUUGAUAUACCUUAGUUUUGGUAUGAACAAAGGAUGUAAACUUCUGAUCCCUUUCUCUUUCCAUGUUCGAAUUGUUGUAAAUUGACCUCCUUGUUGGACUGCCACUUUAUAAACCUAUCGAGAGAAAUAAAUAUAUGCAAGCCCUCAUUUCAGGUUCUAUACAGAUCAAGAAAAUGAACUUUUUUAAUACAGAAACCCCUACAACUGUUUUAAUACAGAAAGUUUGGAUUUGGUCUUAUUUAAUUUCUUACUUAGCAACAUCUAAAGGAAAUUGGAAACGUUUUAAAUUGUUUUAGGAUGGUGGCACUGGAAGGAGGAAAGAAAAACAGAACCAAAAAGUAUAUCCCUUCAAUCUGCAACAUAUAAAGAAAAUGGUGGGGCUUUACUUGGGUGAUUCCAAAUUCAGUUGAAUCCUUUAUUAGAUCUUUGGAAGAUUGUUUUUAUGGGAGUGCAUUGUCUUAUUAAAGAAAGUGCUGGUCUUUUAUUGUUUGAAUUCCUCCUAUGAAGGAGAAUUAAGUUUACUGUAGAUGAACCGGCUUGAAGAAAAUCAGGACUUGCUGAUUGUGGAGGAGUCCUUGGAGAUGAUAAGGGUUCGAUAAUGUGCUGUUUUUUGGUCCUCUUGAAAUUCAAGAGUCCAAUUAUGCACAAUUGAUGGUCAUCAAGCGCGCACUAAAGCUUUUUGCAUCUUCACCUUGGGCGAGUUCUAUGCAAGAGAUUGAUUAUAGAAUCUAAUUGUAAGGCAAAACUUGCAUGGGUUUGUAACAAGCAGACAUGGAACCAUCGGCAUAUUUUUAAAGAGAUUGAUAGUUUGAAGAGAAAGAUGGAAGAUAUUGUGUUUGUGGAUACACUCAUGAAGCUAUUACAUUUGUUGAUUCGCUUGCAAAAUUUGGAGUUGAAAGAGUUAAGAGCUGAUAUGUUUUUCGCUUGGUGCUAAGCCAUGUUGCUUCUGUUCUGAGUUGGAACUGCUUUUCUUCCAUCAUUCACAGUUUGGACAACAUUGGCUAGGAAUUAAUAUGAUGUAGCUGUUUCAUUUGUGGAUUCUGUUAUUAUAACGUUUAUGCUCCUGCAUGGUGUUAUGGGGGCUGUUGGUUGUUGCUGAUUUUUCAUUGUAUUGCUAUAUUCUGUAAGGGGUGAUCGGGGUGAUAGGUUGGUGGUUCUGUUUCCAUUCAAGGUGAUAGGGCGCUUUGCUCCCUUAACUGUUACUGUUUAAGAGUGCUUCUUGCUGCCUUUGUACUGAUCUUUUAAUUUUGAUCAGCUUUCCUAUACCUUUAAUACUUAAUAAAACCACCUAUGAAUGAGCAAUAUAUAUAUAUAUAUACAAAGAAAAGCCCUAUGUGAACAUUAUUCAAGGAAAGUAUUGCCCAUUGGAGGGCAAUACAAAACUUUCCUAUCAGUAGUUGGAUGUUAAAGCAGAGCCUUUUACUUAGAGCAAUGUGUAAUGAAAGGAUAUGUUAUGCAUCAAUAAAAGAACUGAGCUGGAAAGAAUGAAAGCUUCUGACAUAAUUGCAGAAUAGAACUGAAUGCAAAAAUGUUUAAGCAUUGUGAUUCAUACUUCAUCACCAAGAAAAACUGAAUUCUGGCCAUUUAUCCUGAUAUGCAACUUGGAAAGUACUCUAGAUUACAUCAAGCGUUUGAGUAGAAACCUCCUUUACUUCAUACAGAACAUAAUAUGAGAGAUAGAAGAAGGAUUCUACAAAUUUUAGAAUAAAAAAAGUGUAUGAAAUUCAUCAUACUACAAAUGGGAAAUACCCAUUGGUAGCUUCUUAACUUGAAAUAUUACAGAAACACUCAGACACUGCUACGAUGACAAUGUGAAUUUGGUUUAUACAGAAGGUCCUAGGUUACCUGAUUUUACAUGCUAUCUUGCACCAUUGAUGCGAAGGAGGAAAGAUUUCCCUUUUUGGGAAGGAACUGCUGCCUGAACAACUUGGAAACCACCAUUGAAUUUUGAGGGCUUCGGAAUAUAAAGUUUACUUCACCCUGUCAGACAAGUUCCACAACAUCAGGUUUUCAUUUUGCAACAAGAUUUCCGGGCAAUAACUAAAACUUUUAGCUUUCUGUGUAUAGGAACAUUACCAUUUUCAUAGGAAGCUAUGUUCCCUUUGGGGAAUUGUUGUUCCCCUGACACUAUCACUGCUGUUACUGCCAAUACAUCUUUAUUUUCUCAUCAUUUACCAGAAAUUGAGUACUCAUUGGAAUUGAGGUAGAGAUUUUGGUAUUUGCUCAUUCAGCUCGGCAUAUGGUUAAUGUGCUGGGUUAUAACAAGCAUUGAGAAUGGCAGCAACCAAGGGAAUGCCCACUUGGAUAAGUAAUAACAUUCCCAUUUCAGCGUCUUUCCAGACCAGUUUGUUUGCUCCUACUCCUGGCACAAGCCUCUGCAACUUCCAAUUGAAGCCAAAAUUAGUUAUCAUAUAAAUCUUCAGGCAUAGAACAAUAUACCAGUCAUUUAAUAUAAUUGAAACCAUUCUUGAAAUGAUUCUGCAAGAAAUUCUAAUGAGAAGUCACUGAAACCAAUAUGAUUUAUAGACACAAACAUUUGAAAAGAAUUAACAUAUCUGUUCUGUUCAGGCAUAAGCCUCUGCAACUUAGAAUUAACAUCAAAUUAAAAUCAAAGUUAUAAAUCUCCGGUGCAUACAAGAGGUACCAAGUAUUAAUACCUGAAACCUUUCUUGAGAUGGUACUGAAGGAAAUGUUUAACCAGCAGUCUGAAAGAAAUAUGUCUCGUAGAUGAUAAUAUCCCAAACAUCUGUUCAUUACCAUGAUGAAAUUAAUAAAUAAAAUUCUGCAGCUUUUUGUAAACAAUCCAAUGCAAUAGUUACAACUAAAGUUUAUUUCCCUUUACUCAGACCUCUGGUGAAUGACCAAAAAUACAUAUGAAGAACAAACAAAUACAUAGGCAUUCAAAAAAAAAAAAAACCCAUAGAAAUCAACUACAAAAACCUCUCAUUCUGAUUUAGUCUUGAUUUUUCUUUUACAAUGAUGGCAGGCAUUGAAUCUAUAUAUCGUACCCGGAAAGAACCAUCUGUAAGUCCUACUAACUUGAAAUUAAACCAUAUCGCUCCAUGAUUGAAGACAAAACUUCUUUCUCAAUUCUGCAAAAAUAUUUACUCCUUCCAAAGAAAAUGAGCUUUGGAGAAAUACCUGUCCAAAAUUUAGUAAGCAAGAGCUUAUUUGUAGUUAUACCUAAAAUUGAAACUUUGGUUUUGCUUACUUCAUUUUAGAUUAAAUAUAAAAUGAGAAACAUUUGACUAGCUCAUCUGAUCUAAGCACUUAAAGCAAAUUCAAACUAGUGGAAUCUUACAUGGCUUUCUCCCUCCUUUUGAAUACCUCUAUUCCUUCUCUGCCAUUGGUCUUGUGAUUCAUCAACAUAGGCUAAGGCAAACAUUCAACCAAAAGAUAUGGUUCUGAACAACUUCGAGCCACCAUUGAAUAUUUGAGGGCUUUGGAAUAUAAAGUUUACUUCACCCUGUGAGACAAGUUCCACAACAUCAGGUUUUCAUUUGGCAACAAGAUUUCCUGGCAAUAACUAAAACUUUUAGCUAUCUGUGUAUAGGAACAUUACUGUUUUCAAGUUAUGUUUCCCUUUGGGGAAUUGUUGUUCCCUUGACACUGUCAUGUGCUAUUGUUGCCAAUACGUACUUUAAUUUCUCAUCAGUUAUCAGAAAUUGAGUACUCAUUGGGAUUGAGGCUGAGAUUGGUGUUUGCUCAUUCAGCCUGGCACAUGGUCAAUGUGCCAGGCUAUAACAAGCAUGGAGAGUGGCAGCCUCAAAGGCAAUGUCCACUUGGAUAAGUAAUAACAUUCCCCAUUUCAGCAUCUUUCCAGACCAGUUUGUUUGCUCCUAUUGCUGGCACAAGCCUCUUCAACUUCCAAUUGAAACCAAAAUUAGAUAUCAUUGUCUUACCGUCAACAUUGUCUCACAAAUCAUGCAACCUCCUGAAGUGCCUGCAAACAGCAACAUAUCACUUUUCACCUUUCCAAUCUCAGUAUGAAGGUCCUGAUUAAUGUCAUUUUCAUGCAAAAACAUAAAACAAAUCAAUAGGAGAGACAAGAACUACUCAAACUUCCAGAUGGACAAUAGAACAUUAAAAGACUCUUCAAAUUAUUGAAUACAAAAAUGCUUAAGCAUUGUGAUUCACACUUCUACAUCAGCAAAAACUGAAUUCUAGCCAUUUUACCCUGAUAUGCAACUUGAAUAGUACUUUAGAUUAAAUCGACCAGUUGACAGAGUAGAAACCUCCUUCACUUUGAAAACAUAAUAUGAGAAGGAAGAAAGGAUUCUACAAAUUUUAGUAGAAACAGAUAAGAGUACAUGAAAUGCAGCAACUAAAAAUAGGAAAUACACAUUGGUAGCUUCUUAACUUGAAAUAUUACAAAAAUCUUACAAUGAGAAUAUCAAUUUGGUUUGUACAGAAGGUCCCAGGUUACCUGAUUUUACAUGCUUGAGGCACUCAGUAGCUAUCUUAUCAUUUAUGCUUGCACCACUGACGCAAAGGAGGACAGAUUCCCCUUUUAGGGAAGGAACUGCUAUCUGAACAAACUGCCAUUGAAUUUUUAAGGGCUCCAGAAUAUAAAGUCUACUUCAUCCUGUCAAACAAAUUCCACAACAUCAGGUUUUCAUUUUGCAACAUGAUUUCCUGGCAAUAACUAAAACUUUUAGCUUUCUGUGUAUAGGAACAUUACCAUUUUCAAACUAUGUUUCCCUUUGGGAAAUUGUUGUUCCCUUGAGACAGUCACUGCUAUUGUUGCCAAUACAUACUUUAAUUUCUCAUCAUUUAUCAAAAAUUGAGUACUCAUUGGGAUUGAGGCAGAGAUUUUGGUGUUUGCUCAUUCAGCCCAGCAUAUGCUCAAUAUGCUGAGUUAUAACAAGCAUUGAGAGUGGCAGCAACGAAGGCAAUGCCCGGAUAAGCAAUGACAUUCCCAUUUUAGUGUCUUUCCAGACCAGUUUGUUUGCUUCUAUUGCUGGCACAAGCUUCUGCAACUUCCAACUGUAACCAAAAUUACAUAUCAUGUUAAUCUUCAGGCAUAUAACAAUAUACCAAUCAUUUACUGUACUUGAAACUAAUCUUGAAAUGAUUCUGCAAGAAAUUUUAAUAAGAAGUCAUUGAAACCAAUAUGAUUUGUAGACAUAAAAUUCUAAAAGAAUUAACAGAUCUGUACUGUUCAAGCAUAAGCCGCCGCAAUUUAAAAUUAACAUCCAAUUAAAAUCAAAGUUAUAUAUCUUGGUUCGUACAGAAGUGACCAAGUAUUAAUACUUGAAACCUUUCUUGAAAUAGUCCUGCAGGGAAUGUUUUACCAGCAGUCUGAAAUAAAUAUGUUUCAUAGACGAUAGUAAUGCCAAACAUCUGUUCAUUACCAUGAUGAAAUUAAUAAACAAAAUUCUCCAGCUUUUAGUGAACAUUCCAAUACAAUAGUUACAACUAAAGUUUAUUUCCCUUUACUUAAACUUCCGGUGAAUGACCAAAAAUACAUAUGAAGAACAAAUGAAUAUAUAAGCAUUUAGAAAAACAAAUUAAACCAUUGAAAUCAGCUACAAUAACUUCUCAUCUUGAUUUUUCUUUUAAAAUGAUGGCAGACAUUGAAUCUAUAUAUAUCGAACCUGGAGAGAAUUAUCUGAAAGUUCCAAUAACUUGAAAUUAAACCAUUUUUCUCCAUGAUGGAAGAAAGAAGUUUCUCAAUUCUGCAAAAACAUAUACUCUUUUCUAAGAAUAUGAGCUUUGGAAAUGCUUGUCCAAAAUUUAGCAAGCAAGAGUCUAUUAAUAAUUAUGCUUAAAUUGAAUCCUUGGUUUUGUUCACUUCAAUUUAGAUGAAACAAAAAAUGAGAAACGUUUAACUAGCUCAUCUGAUCUAAGCAUUUAAAGCAAAUCUGAAUAUUUCUAUUCCUUCUCUGCCAUUGGUCUCGUGAUUCCUCAACAUUGGCUAAGCCAAACAUUCAACAAAAAAGUAUGGCAGAGAAACUGAAAUAUGCAAAAUAAUAGUGGGAAAAAGGUUGAAAACUUGGGUUUUGGUUAUUCUUCAUAUAAAUCUCAAUGCUGAGAUAGUAGAGAUCUCAGUGUGUGUAUAGAUUUCACCUUUUGUCCAUCAUCUCAUGGUUGUACAUAUCUACCAUUGUGAACAUAAAAUUUCAAAUUGAUUAUCCUGAAUGUAAUUAGAUAUUUCCAAAUUGACAUACUUUGGUCUAAUCAUAAUCAACAUUCUCUUCCUAAGAGAUGAAGCCUCUUCCUAUUUUCUCCUUUAAAUCACACUAGAGAAUAUGCAAUCUCCUCAAAUGGCGGCGAUUUUGGACCAUUCUCAUCUUUAUACUUUUUGAACUGUUGAGUUUGUCAAAUAAUCAAGGACAAUAUUAGCAUUCAUUCAGGAUGAUGGCAUAAUUAUUGGACAAACAAAUAGUACUAUUAAGGAGGUAUCAAGGACAAAAUAAUUAACAGAAAAUUCGAUAGAUAAACCCUGUUUUUCUACAGCGAAGAAGCACAAAGAGAAGUUAAAUACCUGGAGGCAUAUUUUUCCCGCCAACGUACUACAUUCAAAUUAAAGUUUUCAUUUUCAGAGUUGGGAUGCUUUGGGCGAAGAAGUAGUUCCCCUGAUCUGCAAAUUAAUCAAUGUAGCUUCUGGGUGACACUGUUUAGAUCAUGUACGGUAGUGCCAGAAGUUGAGGAUACACUAGGAUAGCAAAUGUUUCAACUAUUGUCAAGGAAGCUCCUAUAUUAGCUCAAUGCAAUUUGCUAGUCAAUUUGUCAAGACAUUGUCUCUCCAGAUAGCUGCAAUACAACUUCUUUUCUGUUCUUCUAAACCUAUUUGAUUCAAGAUUUUUGUCAAUCCUAUCAAGAAAGUAAGAAACACAAAUGAAUAGAUGAACAAUAAGGUGAAAAAUACAACUAAGAGCUAGCUUAACUUAAGAAUACAAACUAGUCUAAGAGAAUAAGUCCUUACAUAGUGUCCUUAAACUAGCAAAGUAUUCAAUAAUGCCAUUACACCAGAUAAGGAUUCCUUCUCUCUUUGAAAUUUUUUGUUUUUCUUGUAAAAUUUUUUGUCUUUCUUUCAUUUUCAGCCUUUCAUUCUUUUCCAUCUUGCUAGAGCAUGCAGUGGGCUUCAAAAGGAAAGCAUACUGAAAUUCGAAAAAAAAAAGGGUGGGGGGGAGUGGAAUUAUGUAUAUACCUGAUCUAUUUGAAUUUACGUGAUGUACUGCUACCAUAAGCAUUGUCACAGAUCACACAUCCUCAAUGGCAGUCUGCCUGCAAAAUGAAGAAAAUGAGAUCAGUAUCACUAUAUUUUUCCCUUUUUCUCUAAGUUCAGCAGCUUAUUGUAGGUUGGGUGCUCGACCUCAAUUCCAGAACAAAGCUCAAAACUUGGUUCAAGUUUUAUCAACUUUCAUUUAUGUAAACUCAAACUUGACUUGAAAAAGUAAUUAAGCUACUCAAACUCAAUUCUCUUUAAUUAGAUUUGUAAACGGUAUUGAACUAACGAACCUACAGUAAUCAUGAAAAUAGAGCACUUGAACACUUGACUUAAUGUAUGUUCUACAAAUAGAAAGAAGAUUUAUGAAAAUUAAUAUAAAAUUUCAAGUGACAUAAAGAUACCUGAUUUCUGGGCGAACCUCCGUUUACGAACACAAACCAUUUCAAAUUUGAUUUUUCUCACCAUAUGUCAAUGUGAGGUACGUGGGCAACAUUGGGCCACUCAUCCUCCUCGCAUCGUUGUUUUAGCAAUGGAGAAUCAUAAAUUUGUAGUGUCAAAAGUGAGGGAAGCAUUUCCUUACUCGGAAGGAAUUUGAGCUUGGGGCAAUGUGCGAUGCGCAAUGAUUCGAGAGAGGUGAGAUUUUGAAAGCCCUUGGAGGACAAAAUUUCAAGGUUGGGAAAAUGUUUGAUGGAGAAAGAGGUGAGAGAGGGGGGCAGAAGCAUUUCUUCAUGAGGGAAUGACGCCACAUCUAGUGAAGCACCGUGGAUGCAGAAAUGCUUAAGAGAGGUGAGUUUGUGCAAACCCCACUCGAUUACUGACUUGCAGAAAUUGGGCUGCGAGAUUUCAAGUGAAAUGAGAUUGGUAGGGAACCCCUCUUCUGGAAAAGAUACCACACUUGGACAAUCAUAUAUCACGAAUUCUGCAAGAGAGACAAUGUUGUGCAUGUGGUUGGGUAAGGCCUCGAGCUUUUCACAUCUCAUAAGAUAGAACUCUCUGAGUUUGGGGGUUAACAAUCCACUUCCUGGGAAAGAAAUCAGAUUUGGACAACCACAAAUACAGACCUCCUCAAGAUGGUUGAGAUUGUCGAAUCCACGAGGUAAAGAUCUAAAAUUUUCACAAAAGUAGAUAUCAAUCUGUUUAAGAGAAGAGUUGUCUUCAAUUUCAGGUGCUAUGGAUUCUAGAGAUGGGCAAGCUUCGAUACGGAGGUAUUUCAGCCCCUUAGGUAACUUGCCAUUGGAUAAUAAGGAAGCUAACUUUUUUUCACAAUUAUAGAUGCUUACACGUUGAAGAUCAACAGGUAAGUCGCCCCUUGCGGAUAAAGAUAUCAAAGACUGACAAAAUCCAAUAAGCAAUUGCUCUAUGCUGAUAUUUUCUCUUUCAUCCAGCAAGUACUGCAAAUUCUCACAAUCAACAAUGGAUAAACUUAUAAACUUUAACGGUAACUCGCACCUUACGGAUAAAGAUAUGAAAGACUUACAAUGUCCAAUUUCCAAUUUCUCUAGAAAAAAUGUACCGUUGAUACUGACAUUUUCUCUUUCAUCCAGCAAGUACUGCAAAUUUUCGCAACAUCUAAUGGUUAAACUUCUUAAAUUUGCAGGCAAAUUUCCCUUUGAAAAUGAAAUCAAUCUUGGGCAUCUUUCAAUUUGUAGCACCGUAAGGGAUGUGUAGCUGUGUAGGCUUUUUGAUAGCCUCUCUAGCCUUUCACAAUCUCCUAUACCCAAAUCUUCUUGGUUCAGCCAUGAAGAAAUUAGCUCAUCACAGUUCCCUAUAGAAAGAGAUUCUGCUUUUCUCAACCCUAACAUCAUAUCCAUUGGACAAGUGAAUUUCGAAAUUUUUGACAGGGAGACACUUUUCAUGAGUGAGCCAAAAUUUGUAAAACUCGUACCCACCACCUCUUGGCAUUCUUCAAUUUUUAACUUGCACAACUUUGUAAGGCUAGAGAGUGAAACUACCAGUUGCUCACAUUCACGAACCUCAAGUUUCUUCAAUGAAGGAGGACAAGUAGCUAGACUUCUCAGUUUUUGACAUCGAAGAAUCACAAGUUCCUCCAAAGAACGAAGACGAGUAGGUAAACUUCCUAACAACUUGGGACAAUCUGAAAUGGAGAGCAAGCGGAGUUGUUGGAACACAUCUCCGUCAACUUCACAAGGAUCCCAUUCCUGCCAUUCAGGCAUGUUAUAAAAAAAUAAUUCCUCUAAUUUUGGAAAUGCAAUUGACGCAUUUUCUCCAAAAAAGUUAGAACCCACAACAGUCACCUUAUUCAUGUUCUUGAUAAAAAGGGAUUUUAGCAGUGGUACUUUUCCAAUUGCUGGUAAUGAUGUGCAAUUUGGACAAUUAUCCAACUCCAAAUGUGAUAGCUUUUCAAAUGAAGGAUCUCCUAUCCAAUUUGGGAAUGCUUUACCUCCGUAAUGUUGGAUGGUGAGCCUUUCAAGCAUUGCAUGUGGUCGGAGUGAAUUCAACACGUCCAUGUGAAAUUGAAUUUCUUCUACUGCAAAAGCGUCACGGGAGUACUUCCAUUCCAAAGUUAAAUCAGAAAGGUUUGACUUAUUACAUAACCCAGCCACCGCUGCAUCUUGAGCUUUGACAAUGUUCUCCAAUCCUGAAAUAAGAAGUCCACCCUUAAGAUUAGACAAUUUCUCCAUCUCUUGUAUCUGAAGGCCAUUAUCUCGACUCACAACAAAUCUUGUCAAUGUUUGGAGGCUGGUUAGCUCACCAAUUCCCAUCGGCAUCCUUAUUUGUGAAUUUGCACCAGUAAAAUCAAGAUGCCUUAGGUUAAUUAAAUCUCUCAUUUCUAAAGGAAACUCCUCAAGAGCUUUACACCCCCACAAAAUCAAAGUCUCUAAAUUGUAAAGUUUGCAUAUUGAAUCAGGUAGAGUUUUGAUUGGAGUGUGAGAAAAAUUGAGAUAACGCAGAUGUAUC